GUUGAGGUCUAUUCCAAAGGGGCUUUUUCUAUAUAGAUCUACAUCGUUGGAAACACCUCAUAGAGUAACUAUGCGGUUUCCUUUAUUCACAAAACUAUAUAUUAGAUCUGUGGGAAAGACUACAAGACAGAG
ensembl:snoRNA